GUACAUCCAGAGAACUUAGCAGAGAUGCUUGGUGCCUUCGGAACUCUGAGACAGGUGCUGCAUGGCUGUCGUCAGCUCGUGUUGUGAAAUGUUGGGUUAAGUCCCGCAACGAGCGCAACCCUUAUCCUUUGUUGCCAGCGGUUCGGCCGGGAACUCAAAGGAGACUGCCGGUGAUAAACCGGAGGAAGGUGGGGAUGACGUCAAGUCAUCAUGGCCCUUACGGCCAGGGCUACACACGUGCUACAAUGGCGCAUACAAAGAGAAGCGACCUCGCGAGAGCAAGCGGACCUCAUAAAGUGCGUCGUAGUCCGGAUUGGAGUCUGCAACUCGACUCCAUGAAGUCGGAAUCGCUAGUAAUCGUAGAUCAGAAUGCUACGGUGAAUACGUUCCCGGGCCUUGUACACACCGCCCGUCACACCAUGGGAGUGGGUUGCAAAAGAAGUAGGUAGCUUAACCUUCGGGAGGGCGCUUACCACUUUGUGAUUCAUGACUGGGGUGAAGUCGUAACAAGGUAAGCGUAGCGAG
rnacentral:rRNA from 1 species